rnacentral:lncRNA from 1 species
UUUUUUUUUUUUUUUGCAUUUUUCUUUUUUUUUUUUCUUUUUUAAUUCUGAAACAUAUCAAGGACCAGUGGGGGGGGGGCGCAGCGGCGAGUGGGGGGCUCUGGCCCACCAGCGUCAGGUUUAAAAUCCCAUGGAGUGGGUGCUGCCGCCGAGGCGAUGGCAGUGACCCCCAUCCCCAGCCCCGCCGCCACCGCGGCGCUCCCCCCCAUCUCCUGCGCCCCCAAGGAGGAGGAUCAAACAAGACAGGAGGUCCCACUUCUUCUGGGAGAGAGAGGCCAUGUUCUGCCCGGAUCAGGGACCCUUUCCCCCCCGGGACCGUGGGGCAGUUUGGGGGCAGAAGCAGAAGGAUGGGAUCCCCCACCCCCAGACCCCCGAGCAAGUGAGUUUUUCCUCUUUGUACAAGAGCGGAUCUGCCGAUGCUUUCAACACUGUUUAUUCAAACGGAAGCAGCCGGGUGGCUUUCCCACCUCUGCGUAUGUAGAUAUAUCGACUUUGUAUUAAAGGAAGAUCGUCUGACCCCGGCCGGUGGUGGAGUGUUUGUCGUGCCUCCGUCCGUCCUGCCCCGUCCCUGGGACAGGAGGGCGCCCGGAGAGCUGGUGUGUUCUCAUCCCGUCGCGUAAGCGGUCCGGGAAGGAAGGUGGCCCAGAGACGUGGUGAUGGGUGCCCGAGAUCGCACAGCACCUCGGGGCCGUCGUGGGCGCGGAGCCCACAUCCUGCAGGGGGGCUGCCUCACGUUCUCGGUCAUAAGAGUGACCCCGCGGGGCGUCGGUGGUGGCCCAGUCUGCAGAUAAGGAAGCCAGGGCUCAUAGAGGGGCAGACGCCACCCCACAGUUGCAGGGUGUAUGGGAGUGGAGCUGGGGAUCGCGCUCGGGCCAGUCUCCUCCCCGGCCGCCACGUAGCGCGCCGUGCUGCCUUCCCCAGAGGGGUCAGCGCUGGAGCCGGUGACCUGCCCGCGCCAUGGGCCACCCCGGGAAUGGGUCCACAUGCCGAGCCCGGCAGGCGCUGGGGCGUCCUCGUCGGAGUCUGCUCCUCCCCGGGCACGGGGGCUGGGUGUGGGUCGAGCCAUCCCUCCCAGGGUCACGCGCAAGCUCCAGAGGCAAGAACGGGCGGUCUUGGCGAGGGCAGGGUCCCAGCCUAGGCGGGUGGGGCCACCCGCUUGAGAAGCCAUCAGAUCCAGGAGUCCGUGGAUAUGAAACAUGGGACCGGUACCACGAAUCAGCUUAGGCCCAUAGACUGAUCAGGUCCCACGUCCCCCACCUGCAGAAUUCUCGACACACAGAAGAACACUCAACACAGGUGAGCUGUCGCGGUCUCCACAAGUCCCAAGAAACAAAUACUGGGGAAGAGAACCAGACCUUGGCCUCCAGGAGUGGAUUCUGAGAUAAAGCCAGCCCUCCCCCGGGAAGAGCCUCUGGUGGGAAAUUUUUUUUUUUUUUGGUGGGAAAUUUUUAAAGCAUGUUUCUAAACAAGGCACAGGUUAAAGAAGGAGCCACAUACAAAUCACGGAGCCAUUGAAAUGGAGCCCAUCAGUGAGCACGUCGCACGGUGAAAAGGGGGUACCCAGCGGAACGUGCGCAGCCUCGGACGCACUGGAACCGAGUGAGCUCCAGGAAGAAACGGACCAAGCUUUGCAUUCAGAUAAUGAGAACAGACCAGAAUAAGUCGAAAUAAGAUAAAAGUUGGAUUGGAUUUAACUGGGGAUGGUUUUGAGGUUAUUAUUUUGUGUUAACGAAAUGAAAAACUUUUUGAAAACACCGGAAGUAGAUAAGCCAUAGGUUAAGUGCAAUCAAGAAAAGGGGUGCCUGUGGGGUGGGGAGGGCUCGGUUGGUGAAGCCUCUGCCUUCUGCUCAGUUCAUCAUCCUGGGGCCUGGGAUCGAGUCCCACAUCAAAGAGUCUGCUAACCCCCUCUCCUCCAGGCCCAUGCUCUCUCGCUGUCUUUCUCUCAAAUAAAUAAGUAAAAUCUUUAAGGGCACCUGGGUGGCUCAGUGGUUAAGCGUCUGCCUUUGGCUCAGGGCAUGACCCCAGGGUCCUGGGAUCGAGUGAGUCCCACAUCAGGCUCCCUGCAUGGAGCCUGCUUCUCCCUCUGCCUGUGUCUCUGCCUCUCUCUCUCUCUCUCUCUGUGUGUGUGUCUCAUGAACAAAUAAUAUCUUUUUAAAAAAACUUAAAAAGAAUUCUGAUGACAAGUAGGGGGGUUGGGAUCCUCUUAGAUUAUGGGACAAAAGGGACAAAAUAGAUUCUACCCCAAGCCUGGUCUUCCCUGAGUCGUCCAGGACUUGACCAAGAGAGAACCCAGAGAACCUCUCUGCCCCGAGAACCCAGCCCUCAAAGCCCCUCUAAGGGAGCAUCUCCUCUUUCCCUUCUUCGGUCUCCUGAGCCACUGAGACCGAAGUAUCUAAAUAGGGUCUACCUUCCACUCCCUACUGGAAACCAGACAAGGGGGUGGAGAUCUUCAGGAAAAGUGAACGUGUGUGGCCCUCUGCUCUGGGGUUCAGCCCUUGAGAUGCUCAUGCCGAUGGCUGGUGGUGGGCGAUGGCAGGUAGGGAUGGAUGUGAAGACCUCUUGGAAACUGAGGAUCCCAAGGAAUUGCCUCAACCCACGGAUAUGACCAGUGAGACAGCAUCUCCAGUGGCCUCAACCCUGCCACAGGACAUACCGUCACAUCCAUCCCCAUUCAUGGAGUAGUUGCUGUAUGAUAGGCGCCUGCGGUCUCAUGUAAUCCUUACAGCAAUGCAUCGGUGGGCAGAUAAGGAGACGGAGGCCCAGACAAGUCCAGUGCCUCACCCAGGAUCACAGUACGCGGUGGAGCCUGGACAGGGAGCCGAGUCUGCCCACUUCCCACAGCCACCGUGCAGAUGUUCCAGACACCUGCGUCCCACCUGCCUGAGGCCAGCCUCACCCACGUGUGGCAGCGCCAAGCUGGAAGGGACAAAGCCUGGAGCACAGCCCAUCACCAAGGACUUGUCAGGGGACCAGAGCACCCCGAUGCUCUGGGGGGUGCCAUACACACACUGUCCUCAACAACAUCAUAUUAAAAUGUCUAAGGGAAAAACGCCCCUGAGAAGAAAUGGAUCAAACCACAGCAGAGCAGGAGACUGCAUCUAACUCGGGAUGCAAAGACCAAGCUGACCAAACAAUCGGGAUCUUGAGAUGAUUAAUGCCGUUGCAAAGGCAUCAAGUCAACAUGUAUGGGACUUUGUAGCCAACAAACAAGGUACAUUCUGUCCAAACGCUUGGAACCAUCACAAGACCAGACCAUGUGUUAGGCCAUAAAGCUGAGCCCAACAUUCAGACUCCACUCACCAGCCCCAAUGCAAUAAUAUUCUACAUCAGUGUUGCCCAUGUUCCUCGAGUCCACGGAGUCGAAAGGGUUUAAAUAGGAGUGAAAGGUAAAUCAUAUUUACCAAGUAAAGUCCAAGAUAUUUAGGGCUGGAGGACGAAACCAUUGCAAAUGAAAACCAGAAAUGUGCUCAGAGGUCAAUUUCAAAUUUUAAAUGCAUUUAUGGAGGAGGGAGAUCACCGAAUGUAAACGAAAUAAGCGGCCAAAGAGGGACUCAGAGGCAAACACGUAGCCUUUAUAUAAAUUUAUGAAGUAAGGAAA